GACCAUGUUGAGAAAUGAGGCUUAGAUUUAAGAAAUGGGGUGUGUACUUGGUAGAGAGGUAGCCUCUGGCAUAGUUUCAGAGUCUAAAGAGGUAAAGAACCUGAGAAUUGAAUCCAGAAGAAAAUUAGACAUUGUUUCAGUGACAAAGACUGACACUAGUAGUAUUGUUGAGAUUCAAAAUGAGACUCAGAAGGAGGAGAAAGUGGAGAGGGAUCAAAAACCUAGAGGGGAGAGAAGAAGGUCUAGGCCAAACCCUAGGUUGAGUAAUCCACCCAAGCAUUUGCAGGGUGAGCAGGUGGCAGCUGGAUGGCCA
rnacentral:misc_RNA from 1 species